rnacentral:lncRNA from 1 species
UUUAUGUAAUUCUUGAACUUAACUUUUUUAAAAAGACAUGAAUCAAUCAAAAUAAAUCGCAUACUGACUUGGAGUUAGUUAAAUUAAAAACAAAUAAUUAUGUAGCAUGUCUGGCAAUAAAUGACAAUUAUCUCGGUGAUAAUAGCUCCUGCCGCCGUUAUUUUGUCACGAUAUUGUGUGAAUUGUGAUGUUCUCCGUGAUUGUUCAUGGUAAACCGCCACAAUUAUCGUACAAAAUCGUGCAGUUAUCGUGCCAAAAUCGCAUGAUGUCCCUUCUCAAACCAUGGCGAUAUUGUUCAAAAAGUUGAGAUUUAAAUUUGCACAUUUUCUCCGCAACAAUUUGGGUUUCCCUCCGCAAUGAAUGAAACCUGAGAUAAAAUGAUUUACAGUAUAAGACAAAGAGAGUAUUAAAUAAAAUUAUAUGAGUCUUAACAAAUGCAUUUUGUCCAAUUUAUUUUAAAUGGAAACGAGAGAAACAACCUUCCAAUUUACACAAGAUUUGGGAGGUUUCAGACCGAAACUAACCGAACAAAAGGACGAAAUGGGCCACCCUGGGACGUUGGGUGGCUGGGCGCUGUGUCGUAGAAAUUAUAUGCUUCAGCCCUCGGCGACGGCAUGCCCGGCCGGGCGACC